GGGUGCAUGGUCUAGAGGUAUGAUUCCUGCUUUGGGUAAGUGGGUCAUUUAGUUACGCCCUACCGCUGCAGGAGGUCCCCGGUUCAAUCCCGGGUGCACCCC